GAUGAACGCUGGCGGCGUGCCUAGUACAUGCAAGUCGAGCGAACGGACGAGAAGCUUGCUUCUCUGAUGUUAGCGGCGGACGGGUGAGUAACACGUGGAUAACCUACCUAUAAGACUGGGAUAACUUCGGGAAACCGUAGCUAAUACCGGAUAAUAUUUUGAACCGCAUGGUUCAAAAGUGAAAGACGGUCUUGCUGUCACUUAUAGAUGGAUCCGCGCUGCAUUAGCUAGUUGGUAAGGUAACGGCUUACCAAGGCAACGAUGCAUAGCCGACCUGAGAGGGUGAUCGGCCACACUGGAACUGAGACAUGGUCCAGACUCCUACGGGAGGCAGCAGUAGGGAAUCUUCCGCAAUGGGCGAAAGCCUGACGGAGCAACGCCGCGUGAGUGAUGAAGGUCUUCGGAUCGUAAAACUCUGUUAUUAGGGAAGAACAUAUGUGUAAGUAACUGUGCACAUCUUGACGGUACCUAAUCAGAAAGCCACGGCUAACUACGUG
rnacentral:rRNA from 1 species